CCUACGGGAGGCUGCAGUGGGGAAUAUUGGACAAUGGGCGAAAGCCUGAUCCAGCCAUGCCGCGUGUGUGAAGAAGGCCUUCGGGUUGUAAAGCACUUUCAGUGGGGAAGAAAGCCUUGGGGCUAAUACCCUCGAGGAAGGACAUCACCCACAGAAGAAGCACCGGCUAACUCCGUGCCAGCAGCCGCGGUAAUACGGAGGGUGCGAGCGUUAAUCGGAAUUACUGGGCGUAAAGCGCGCGUAGGCGGUCUGAUAAGCCGGUUGUGAAAGCCCCGGGCUCAACCUGGGAACGGCAUCCGGAACUGGCAGGCUAGAGUGCAGGAGAGGAAGGUAGAAUUCCCGGUGUAGCGGUGAAAUGCGUAGAGAUCGGGAGGAAUACCAGUGGCGAAGGCGGCCUUCUGGACUGACACUGACGCUGAGGUGCGAAAGCGUGGGUAGCAAACAGGAUUAGAUCCCCUGGUAGUC
rnacentral:rRNA from 1 species